UACGUAGGUGGCAAGCGUUGUCCGGAAUUAUUGGGCGUAAAGCGCGCGCAGGUGGUUUCUUAAGUCUGAUGUGAAAGCCCACGGCUCAACCGUGGAGGGUCAUUGGAAACUGGGGAACUUGAGUGCAGGAGAGAAGAGUGGAAUUCCACGUGUAGCGGUGAAAUGCGUAGAGAUGUGGAGGAACACCAGUGGCGAAGGCGACUCACUGGCCCGGUACUGACGCUGAGGCGCGAAAGCUAGGGGAGCAAACGGG
rnacentral:rRNA from 1 species